GAUUCCUCUCCAGACCGUGACCGAGUACUGCUGUUCAUGAGUACUACUCAGUUAGAAUUGAAGACUAUGUCCAUGAGUACUACUCAGUUGAACGUUUCAAAGCUACUUAUCAGUUUGAUAUUAACCCGAUGGUUGAUAAGGCUUAGUGGCCCAUGGUUGAUCCUGGGUUUGUCAUGGUUCCUCCGAAGUUAGAGAGGCCUGCGGGUAGGCCGAGAGUACGUCGAAUCAGAAGUAGUGGUGAGGCUGGGAAAAGAGGCCCUUACCAAUGCAAGAGAUGCUUUCAGUUUGGUCAUAUUGAAAAGACUUGUCGUGAGCCCCCUGCUGAAUUGGGGGAUGAGCUCCCACCACAGCCUAAAACACGAAAGAGAAAUUGUGAUGUUGUCCUGCACACACCAAAAAGGUCCAACACGGCACAAACAACUGCAUCAACUCCUCCUUCGACAGGUCCAAUAACAAGAAGCAUGGCAGCUUCACCUUCUACUUCUACAGGUGAAGGUCCUGUCACUAGAGGAAUGACAAACAUAUCACCUGGGGGCAUUGCAAGAAGAGUUAUCAUUAGUUAGUAGGUGUAAUGGAGAUGGCUGACUUGAUGUUAUGCUGAAAUGGAGAUGGCUGACUUGAUGCUAAAAACCUACUCUAAUGUUUUGUGCUAAAAACCUUCUGUUGUGUUCA